rnacentral:rRNA from 1 species
UAUGGUAAUUGUGUCCGCCGCGGUAAUACGUAGGGGGCGAGCGUUAUCCGGAUUCAUUGGGCGUAAAGCGCGCGUAGGCGGCCCGGCAGGCCGGGGGUCGAAGCGGGGGGCUCAACCCCCCGAAGCCCCCGGAACCUCCGCGGCUUGGGUCCGGUAGGGGAGGGUGGAACACCCGGUGUAGCGGUGGAAUGCGCAGAUAUCGGGUGGAACACCGGUGGCGAAGGCGGCCCUCUGGGCCGAGACCGACGCUGAGGCGCGAAAGCUGGGGGAGCGAACAGG